rnacentral:rRNA from 1 species
UGGGGAAUAUUGCACAAUGGGCGCAAGCCUGAUGUAGCCAUUCCGCGUGUAUGAAGAAGGCCUUCGGGUUGUAAAGUACUUUCAGCGAGGAGGAAGGCGUUGUGGUUAAUAACCGCAACGAUUGACGUUACUCGCAGAAGAAGCACCGGCUAACUCCGUGCCAGCAGCCGCGGUAAUACGGAGGGUGCAAGCGUUAAUCGGAAUUACUGGGCGUAAAGCGCACGCAGGCGGUCUGUCAAGUCGGAUGUGAAAUCCCCGGGCUCAACCUGGGAACUGCAUCCGAAACUGGCAGGCUAGAGUCUUGUAGAGGGGGGUAGAAUUCCAGGUGUAGCGGUGAAAUGCGUAGAGAUCUGGAGGAAUACCGGUGGCGAAGGCGGCCCCCUGGACAAAGACUGACGCUCAGGUGCGAAAGCGUGGGGAGCAAACA